GGAGAGGUGGCCGAGUGGUUUAAGGCGCCGGUCUUGAAAACCGGUGUACGGUUAAUCCGUACCGUGGGUUCGAAUCCCUCCCUCUCCGCCA
rnacentral:tRNA from 1 species